rnacentral:lncRNA from 1 species
CUUGUCCUGAGCCAUGCAUCUAUCCUGGGGCUUCCCCGCCAUGUACAGUCAUAUGUUGCAGGGACAUUCUGAGAACAGAGAAAGGAUCUCUCUAUUCAUUGGGAAUCCUCUAGUUUGCGAGUCACAGCAAAUCUACCAAGUUAAACCAGCUCAGAGACAAGAGCCACGUCCAGGACUUAGAUCUCAGAAGACCGUAGGGAUCAAAUGAUGUCACACGGUUCCAUAGCUCAGCCCACAAAAAUUGCUUUCAGUGCGGUUCCUGCAACGUCUCCCAGCUUUCUGCUCAUGACUGCUCACUUUCACUUUCAUGUUCCAACUGGCAAUCCCAACAGAGGAGGGGACAGAAAGAGACUGGGGUCAGAUCCUGAGUAACAUGACUGAAGUUCACCCUGACUUGACUAGGCUGGGUCACCGUGGCCAAGUGCGUGUUAAUCAGGGCCAUUUCUGUUACCACACGGGUUUCCUAAAGGCAGGAGGGAGAAGGAACACUGGCAGUGACAGCAUGUGGAACCGUAAUACCUCUCUGUUUCACUCAUAUUUUUUCACAGCUGUGACCUGACCAGAACAAUUUUAGAGCAGGAAAAGUUUAUUUGGAGCUCAGGGUUUCAGAGGUCUCAAUCCACAGAAGUCUGGCUCCAUUUCUUGGGUGAGGCAGAACAUCAUGGCAGAAAAGAGUGGCAGAGGGAAGCAGCUCACAUGAUGAUCAGAAGGGGGAGAGAGAGAGAGAGAGAGAGAGAGAGAGAGAGAGACCACUCACCAAAUACAAAACGUAUACCCCAAAGUCAUGUCCCCAAUGACCCACCUCCUCCAGCCACACCCUACCUGCCUUCAGUCACCACUCAGUUAAUCCCAUCAGGGGAUUAAUUCACUGUUGGGGUUAAGGUUCUCAUAACCCAUUAUUUCUCCUCUGAAUCUUCUUGCAUUGUCUCACACAUGAGCUUUUGGGGGACACCUCAUAUCCAAACCGUAACACUCUCCCCAAAUAAGCACAAGCUGAGACCAGAAAUUCCCCUGUAAAGCUGUGUCUCUUCCUUCCCUCUGUCACCGACUUCUCAGAUACUCAUUCCUCCUUCCUCUGUUCCCCAAAUAUUUCGCUGUACCGUGUCCCUCAUGUAUUAUAGUUAUUUGUAAUAUAUCUGCCUUGGCCGCUAGACAGGGCACCUCAAAAGCAGAAGUAAACUGCUUUCAGUUUUCACCCGUAACACCCAAGUGAUUCCCUAAGCUUGGCACAUUGUGGGUGCUUGAUAAGUGUGGCCAGUGUCACAAAUGAAUAAACAGUAGUAUUGUCUAUAGAAACAUUUAACUGGGUUUUCUGGGUCAAGUGGCUGUGAUGUGGGAAUAGGGAAUGUAAUUGUGUCGUCUGUGCUGUGGCUUUGUCUGGUACCCUGCUGGACAGAGAGAAGACGUACAAUCUACCCUCAUGCAGGAUCUUCAUCUGUGGAUAUUCUGACUCAAUUUGAACCCACUCUUCCCUUUUUAGUUUCUUCAAGGACACAGAAUUCUCUGGCCAAGUGACUCGCUAGCCUGGCGGGAGCUUGGGGCAGGAUCCUGCCUAUUGCUGUUUGCUGGAAGGGAUGGGAUUCACGUGCCAGCCCAGAAUGGUGUCUCCAUGUUCACUCCCUUUGGUGAGUGUGGAGACAUGAAAUUAGCUGGUUUUUGGAAAACAAGCUCAAUGGCUACCUGGGCCAGGUAUGGAACUGGAUGAGAGGCGCGUGCUGGCAACUGUCAGUGUGGAGCCGUUGCAGGUGUGGUGGGGCUGCCGCAGCUGGAUUGCCAAGCCUGGUCACGGUGAGUGAGCAGCAGUCAUGACUCAGCAGCUGCUGACUGGAGGGGAUACAGACUCUGGGAUGCUAGGACUUGGAACAGUACUCCAGUUUCAGAAGGGACAGCACUAAGUCACUCUUUGAGAAAACAUGUCUCUGACCAGUGGGCCUGGCGUGGCUUGAGGAGUACCAGACUGUGCCUCUGAUCUCACCUGAAACUUUGCCAGUGGCAUGUCUCAAAGUGAGCUACAUUUUACAACUCAAGCAGGCUUAGUCUUGUUGGGAAAAGUAUAAACGGCAGCCGCACCCCAGAGAAAAACCCCAACAUGGCGCCUAAGGACCUCUUCUUCCUACCUUCCUCUUUUCUGCAGUGGCGCGAAAAGUUCCCGUCCGUGGGAACUCUCCCAUCAGCGCCGAUUUCAAAUCUCGAUGGCGGGGAACCUUAGCCCCAAUAAGAACUAAUUCCUGGGCUCCGGAGCUGAUAUCUGGAAGAACUUGCCAAUAAACGGGUGGCCUGCCAUUUAUCUAAGCCCUGCCAUCUCCCCCUUAGUUCUAUAUAAGCACACAGCCUUUUGCAAUAAAAUUGGAAUUCUCCCGGCGAAGUGUCUUUGCGUGGGGAAUUCUUUCAAGUCUCACUAUAUGGAAGAGUUUUUUUCUAAACACUUAGGAAAAUAAUUCGGACCACAUAGUUGUUUUCAACAACUAUGCCCCGAACUAUUCUUCCCAUGAAUGGUUUUAUAGUUUCUUCAAAGUCACCGUCAAGAUUUACCCUUUUCAUGUAGCUAUUCAUCUAUUUACUGCACCCUGGCUCUGAUAUGCUCAAUUUAUGUUAAUCUGUUGUUGUAUUGUUUCACGUAUUCCCCAUGUUUAUGUACCAGUAAAGAUGACAAGACUCAAAAAUGCAUGCCUAAAACAUAAUAUGAAUUUGCUUCUGGCUCUUGUAUAUCAGUCCAGAGUACAUGCAGGUUGGGGAAAUGGGGGAGGGGCUCUGUUCCAGUCAGU